rnacentral:snRNA from 1 species
AGCGUUGACGACUUAAAAAGAAAA